GAUGAACGCUGGCGGCGUGCUUAACACAUGCAAGUCGAACGGUGAACACGGAGCUUGCUCUGUGGGAUCAGUGGCGAACGGGUGAGUAACACGUGAGCAACCUGCCCCUGACUCUGGGAUAAGCGCUGGAAACGGCGUCUAAUACUGGAUAUGUGACGUGACCGCAUGGUCUGCGUUUGUAAAGAUUGUUCGGUUGGGGAUGGGCUCGCGGCCUAGCAGCUUGUUGGUGAGGUAAUGGCUCACCAAGGCAUCGACAGGUAGCCGGCCUGAGAGGGUGACCGGCCACACUGGGACUGAGACACGGCCCAGACUCGUACGGGAGGCAGCAGUGGGGAAUAUUGCACAAUGGGCGCAAGCCUGAUGCAGCAACGCCGCGUGGGGGAUGACGGCAUUCGGGUUGUAAACCUCUUUUAGCAGGGAAGAAGCGAAAGUGACGGUACCUGCAGAAAAAGCGCCGGCUAACUACGUG
rnacentral:rRNA from 1 species